UACGGAGGGUGCGAGCGUUGUCCGGAAUCAUUGGGCGUAAAGGGCGCGUAGGUGGCCCGGUCAGCGUGCGGUGAAAGCUCGGGGCUCAACCCCGAGUCGGCCGUGCGAACUGCUGGGCUCGAGCACUGUAGAGGCAGGCGGAAUUCCGGGUGUAGCGGUGGAAUGCGUAGAGAUCCGGAAGAACACCGGUGGCGAAGGCGGCGCUCUGGACCGAGACUGACGCUGAGGCGCGAAAGCGUGGGGAGCAAACAGG
rnacentral:rRNA from 1 species